GACGUAGGGCGCAAGCGUUGUCCGGAUUUAUUGGGCGUAAAGAGCUCGUAGGCGGCUUGCCACGUCUGCCGUGAAAACCCGCAGCUCAACUGCGGGCUUGCGGUUGAUACGGGUGGGCUGGAGUUCGGUAGGGGAGACUGGAAUUCCUGGUGUAGCGGUGAAAUGCGCAGAUAUCGUAAGGAAGACCAGUGGCGAAGGCGGGUCUCUGGACAGUUCCGUGACGCUGAGGGCACGAAGGCCAGGGGAGCAA
rnacentral:rRNA from 1 species